rnacentral:rRNA from 1 species
AGUAAGUUUUGUGGUCAAGCUAACAAGGGCGUACGGUGAAUGCCUUGGCGCCAGCAGGCGACGAAGGACGUGGUCAGCUGCGAUAAGCCUCGGGGAGCCGCAAGCAGGCUUUGAUCCGGGGAUGUCCGAAUGGGGAAACCCUCCCGAUGAAAACAUCGGGAACGGCCCGCUGAAUCUAUAGGCGGGUACGAGCCAACCCGGGGAAGUGAACCAUCUCAGUACCCGGAGGAAGAGAAAGCAACAGCGAUUCCGUCAGUAGCGGCGAGCGAACGCGGAACAGCCCAAACCUCGGCUUCCGCAAGGUGGCCGGGGGGUUGUAGGACCGCAAGAGUAGAGUUACCAAUCCCGGCCGUAGAUGAACGGCGUGGAAACGUCGGCCAGAGAAGGUGAAAGCCCUGUAAUCGAAACGGCGCGGGACUCGAAGCGGUAUCCUGAGUACCACGGGACACGAGAAAUCCCGUGGGAAACUGGGGGGACCAUCCUCCAAGGCUAAAUACUCGCUGGCGACCGAUAGUGAACCAGUACCGUGAGGGAAAGGUGAAAAGCACCCCUGCGAGGGGAGUGAAAAGAACCUGAAACCGUAUGCCUACAAGCAGUCGGAGCCCCGCACCUAAGUCGUUUUGGUGAAGCCGUGUACUACGUCUAGGUCUUGCAGAGCACUGACGACCCGGAGCGGUUCUACCUCGGCUGUACGGGCGAUCUGAAACAGAGAGUUCGCUCGCACAACCAGGGGGAGAACCGGGCUACCCGGGGAAGCCAGUGGAAGCCGGUUUACUACGAGGCGUAUACGACACUGGCGGCCGCUCGGAGGCGCGAGUACCGUUUAAAGCACAACGGGAAAGCGAAAGCCUCAUUGAUGCGGCGCAUUAGAGAAAGUCUCAGAGCGACUUAGGUGCGGGGUGACGGCGUGCCUCUUGCAUAAUGAGCCGGCUACUUACUCUCUGCAGCAAGGCGAAGCGCAAGCCAGCCGCAGCGAAAGCGAGUCCGAACAGGGCGAUGAGUUGCUGGGAGUAGACGCGAAGCGGGAUGAUCUACCCUUGACCAGGGCGAAGGCCGGGUAAAACCGGCUGGAGGCCCGAACCGGUGUUGGUUGAAAACAGCUCGGAUGAGUUGAGGGUAGGGGUGAAAGGCUAAUCAAAUUCCGUGAUAGCUCGUUCUCCCCGAAAUAGCUUUAGGGCUAGCCUCGGAGGAUUUCUCGCGGUGGUAGAGCACUGGAUGGGCUAGGGAGCAUUAAAGCUUACCGACUCCAACCAAACUCCGAAUGCCGCGACGAACACUCCGGGAGUCAGACUACGGGGGAUAAGCUCCGUGGUCAAAAGGGAAACAGCCCAGACCGCCGGCUAAGGUCCCCAAGUGCAGGCUAAGUGGGAAAGGGCGUGGGAUUGCUCUAACAGCCAGGAGGUUGGCUUAGAAGCAGCCAUCCUUUAAAGAAAGCGUAACAGCUCACUGGUCAAGCGGUUCCGCACCGAUAAUCCAACGGGGCUCAAGCCUGCCACCGAAGCCGCGGAUGUCUGGAGGCUCGAUGCUGGAAGCUAGAAGCUAGAUGGACACCGACGAGAAGCGCAUCCGCAGUUACCGUGACCUGCGUAUCUACCAGCACAGCUAUGAAGCGGCGCUGGAGAUUCAUCAGCUCACCCUGAAGUUCCCCGCCUUUGAACGCGGCGAGCUCGGGUCGCAACUGCGGCGCGCCUCCAAGUCGGUUCCCAUCAAUACCGCCGAAGGGUAUGGCCGAAAACGCUCGGCCGAGGACUUCAAACGGUUCUUGGUCAUGGCGCUCGGGUCCUGCGACGAAGUCGCGGUCUUACUCAACUUCGCGCGCGACCUCGAAUACCUCGGCGAAAAGGACUACGCCCGCCUGAAGGUCAUCUAUGAAGAAGUCGGCAAAGGCAUCAACAAGAUGAGCCAGGUGUGGCGCUAGUCCUUUCCAGCCUCUAGGUUCAAGCUUCGAGUCUCUAGACGUGGUAGGGGAGCGUUCUGUAGGGCACUGAAGGUCGAGCGCGAGCUCGGCUGGACUCUACGGAAGUGACUCUGCCGGCAUAAGUAGCGAUAAAGAGCGUGAGAAUCGCUCUCGCCGAAAGCCUAAGGUUUCCUGAGAAAGGUUCGUCCGCUCAGGGUUAGCCGGUCCCUAAGGUGAGGCCGAAAGGCGUAGCUGAUGGGCAGGGCGUCAACAAUCGCCCGCUUCCGUUUCUCCGUUAUGACGACGGGGCGACGCAGGGAGGCGGCGGAGUCCGGCGAUGGACGUCCGGAUCGGACGUUUCUGGGGGACCCGGUUGGCAAAUCCGCCGGGUCAUUAACCUCGGAAACGGACGCGAGGCCGCAAGGCCACAAAGUCCGCCCAGUCCCUGCCAGGAAAAACCCCUAAGCAGGAGAAGCGGGAACCGUACCUCAAACCGACACAGGUAGGCGAGGACAAUAUCCACAGGCGCGCGAGUGAAGGCUCGCUCAGGAACUCGGCAAAUUAACCCCGUAACUUCGGAAGAAGGGGUGCCCUUGUAGUCCUCCGCAAGGGGGACGACCGGGCCGCAGGGAAACGCGCUCUGCGACUGUUUAACAAAAACACAGGUCUCUGCGAAGUCACCAAAACGACGUAUAGGGGCUGACGCCUGCCCAGUGCCGGAAGGUUAAGGCGAGCGGUCAUCCCGCGCGCAAGCGAGGGAGAAGCUGCUCGCUCAAGCCCCGGUGAACGGCGGCCGUAACUAUAACGGUCCUAAGGUAGCGAAAUUCCUUGUCGGGUAAGUUCCGACCUGCACGAAUGGCGUAACGACAGAGCGACUGUCUUGGCGAGCCGCUCGGCGAAUUUGUGGUCCCGGUGAAGACGCCGGGUGCCCGCACCUAGACGGAAAGACCCCGUGCACCUUUACUGCACCCUAGCUGUGAGUAACGGGACUAUCUGCGCAGAAUAGGUGGGAGGCUUUGAGUCCGCCCUCUCGGGGGCGGAGGAGCCAGCCAGUGAGAUACCACCCUGGUAAUUCUGUCGCUCUAACCUCGGGUCCCUGACCGGGAUCAGGAACAUAGCUAGGCGGGUAGUUUGACUGGGGCGGCCGCCUCCUAAACGGUAACGGAGGCGCCCAAAGUUCGGCUCAGGCUGGUUGGUAAUCAGCCGCAGAGUGCAAGGGCACAAGCCGGAUUGACUGCGAGACCGACGGGUCGAGCAGAGACGAAAGUCGGGCCUAGUGAUCCGGUGGUCCCGUAUGGAAGGGCCAUCGCUCAACGGAUAAAAGGUACGCCGGGGAUAACAGGCUGAUCGGAGCCAAGAGUUCACAUCGACGCUCCGGUUUGGCACCUCGAUGUCGGCUCAUCACAUCCUGGGGCUGGAGAAGGUCCCAAGGGUUCGGCUGU